UACGGGGGGGGCAAGCGUUACUCGGAAUUACUGGGCGUAAAGCGUGCGUAGGUGGUUCGUUAAGUCUGAUGUGAAAGCCCUGGGCUCAACCUGGGAAUGGCAUUGGAAACUGGCGAUCUAGAGUGCGGUAGAGGGUAGUGGAAUUCCCGGUGUAGCAGUGAAAUGCGUAGAGAUCGGGAGGAACAUCUGUGGCGAAGGCGACUGCCUGGACCAGCACUGACACUGAGGCACGAAAGCGUGGGGAGCAAACAGG
rnacentral:rRNA from 1 species